UUUAAUGUGUAAUUAUUCAAUUGAAAAACUCCUAAUCAAACUCUCUAUACUUCACUAACAAGUGCUCACAACAUGGAUGUAGCAGAUGUCAUGUGUGUUUAAGAUCUUAUGCCAGUUCACCUAGGAACUAAUUAAGGCGGAGCUAAUUUCAGGGGGAACUAUAAAAAUGAUGCACCACUGUGAGUAGAGAGACAAAUGCAUUCACUUCCAAGCAUUCAACAAGCUAAGGAAUGCUUAUGCUUUUCUUGAGUUUCUCCCUUCCGUAACCAGCCAAUGAGUUCUUACGUCUGGUACACCCCUGAUGUCUUGUGGUUUGCUCUAUGUUGAGAACUGAAGACUUGCUAUGAAAAUAAACCAGUCAGUA